UAACAAAUAAAAUUAAAUUCUGAAACUUUGAUUGCAAUAUUUUAAAAAAUUUGAGCUAAAAAUCACAAUAAAUUAAAGUUGGAGGACUAAAGAGCGAUCGUCUUCAAAGUCCGAGGACUAAAAGUCCAAUUUUGCCUAUCACGAGCUCACUGAAUCCUAGCCUUUGGAUCAUGAUACGCGCACACCGUAACUCGUUUCGCGUGUUCGGCGUCCGCAUAGAGAGGCCGCAUCCGCAAUGAGGAGGCGCGUCUCCUUCCCCAUGGUGGUUGGUGCGAUCGUGAUUGGAGUAGUUUCUGGGAAUGUGAUAUUUGGACCUCCUCUCGAGAAAUAUUGGAUGAAGAAGCUGCAGGAAGAGGCAGCGGCGAAAGAGGGGGGCACCGAUAAUACAAGUUGAGAAGAUGCUGUACAAAUCAUUGCGAGGAAAUGUCAUGAGAGUUGAAAAUUUUUGGAUGAUACUAUCAAGUAAUAAUAGAACAAAAUUUGUAAGGUGUGUUUGAUUUUGUUGUUUACUUUGGAUCUGGAGCUAUUCACAGCUUGUUUUAGAGUUCUACUUCCCAUUACUGGGUUGCUUUUGUAGACAGCAGGGGCAAGUGGUUUGAAUGUAGUGUUCAAGCUGAUUUGUUGGUUAAUACAAUGAUUUUAGUUUCUGUUUUUGGUA